GGCUGUUGUUGGAGUGCAGCUUAGACACCGUCUGACACACACUUCUGUGUGUCUGACACAGGAGGCUGGGCCGCUUCUCUUUUACCUGUGCAAACACAGGUGUAAGAGCCAUGAUUUGUAAAGCUACGUUAUCUGAUGAUGGCACUCGUUAAUGAGUAAUCAGAGAUGUUGCAGAGGCUCUUUCAUCAAACUGCAGUCUCUCUUUUGUGCCCAACAAAAACACAUCCUCCUGUUGAUACUUGAUGCUGCCGUUUCAUGAAGUCGUGGCUUUUUAUCUUCUCCGCUGCCGGGUGGAGCACAGCUCAGCCUGUCUGGCAUGGAGAGCGUACACAACAGGGACUCGCUGCUUCCUCUGUGAGUGGACUUUAACUCUCCAUGUACAGUACAGAGUGAAGGGAGACAGCGUUCCUCCGAGACCCUGGUGCUACAUAUGACAUGUAACAGACAAACACAGGACAAAGUGCCAUGUGCAAAAAAUUGCACAAAUAAACAAGACAGAACAGGACGAUACACACAAGCAGUGUUGGGCGUGGACUGCAACUGUCCCAGCUGACAGCGAGCCUCCACUCCAACCCCACAUCCACGAGGUUUGCAGAGAGGAACACGCACUCAGCGAAGGAGAUUUAAGUCUUCGUGGCCUCGUUUUUAUCUUUGUACUGCUUCCAGUUUUGUACUCUGUGUGUCACAUGUGGCAUCCUGGUCAGUAAAUGAA